rnacentral:rRNA from 1 species
GGACUACAAGGGUAUCUAAUCCUGUUUGCUCCCCACGCUUUCGUGCCUCAGUGUCAGUAUUAGGCCAGGUAGCCGCCUUCGCCACUGGUGUUCCUUCCGAUAUCUACGCAUUUCACCGCUACACCGGAAAUUCCACUACCCUCUCCCAUACUCUAGUCAUACAGUCUUAACUGGCCUUCCCAGGUUAAGCCCAGGGCUUUCACAGUUAACUUAUAUAACCACCUACGCACCCUUUACGCCCAGUAAUUCCGAUUAACGCUCGCACCCUCCGUAUUACCGCGGCUGCUGGCAC